rnacentral:rRNA from 1 species
GACGAACGCUGGCGGCGUGCCUAAUACAUGCAAGUAGAACGCACAGUUUAUACCGUAGCUUGCUACACCAUAGACUGUGAGUUGCGAACGGGUGAGUAACGCGUAGGUAACCUGCCUGGUAGCGGGGGAUAACUAUUGGAAACGAUAGCUAAUACCGCAUAAUAUUAAUUAUUGCAUGAUAAUUGAUUGAAAGAUGCAACUGCAUCACUACCAGAUGGACCUGCGUUGUAUUAGCUAGUAGGUGAGGUAACGGCUCACCUAGGCGACGAUACAUAGCCGACCUGAGAGGGUGAUCGGCCACACUGGGACCGAGACACGGCCCAGACUCCUACGGGAGGCAGCAGUAGGGAAUCUUCGGCAAUGGACGAAAGUCUGACCGAGCAACGCCGCGUGAGUGAAGAAGGUUUUCGGAUCGUAAAGCUCUGUUGUAAGAGAAGAACGGGUGUGAGAGUGGAAAGUUCACACUGUGACGGUAUCUUACCAGAAAGGGACGGCUAACUACGUG